rnacentral:rRNA from 1 species
UGCCAGCCGCCGCGGUAAUACGGAGGGUGCAAGCGUUGUUCGGAAUUAUUGGGCGUAAAGCGCGUGUAGGCGGUUCGUUAAGUCUGAUGUGAAAGCCCGGGGCUCAGCCCCGGAAGUGCAUUGGAAACUGGCGAACUUGAGUACGGGAGAGGAAAGUGGAAUUCCGAGUGUAGGGGUGAAAUCCGUAGAUAUUCGGAGGAACACCAGUGGCGAAGGCGACCACCUGGUACAGUAUUGACGCUGAGAUGCGAAAGCGUGGGGAGCAAACAGGAUUAGAUA